GCCCCUGUGGCGGAACCGGCAGACGCGCUAGCUUCAGGAGCUAGUGACCGCAAGGUCGUGGAGGUUCAAAUCCUCUCGGGGGCA
rnacentral:tRNA from 1 species